UAAAAAGGUAGCCAGAUGAACGAGGAAGAGUGUGAAACAGGCUCAGGAUCAGUACAGGUUGUGUACAAUCGAAAAACGGACAGCAGGCUUCGAUGUUAACAUUAGGUUGAUAUUAGAAAGUAAGUACUCUAUUCUGCAGAUAGCUAGCUACGUGGACACGUAACGCUAAAAGAUAACCCGAGUCACCUGCAAAAAUCCUUGCUAAAUCGAAUUCCUCGGUCGGUUGUGGAGAGGAAAUCGGGCCUACGGCGGGGUGACUUGCUAGUGCUGUCAUCCGCACUGUUGCAGGUCAAGAGCUUGCGGAUCUACAGCAUCUUGAUUCAGUAUUGGCUAGGUGACCAUGUUUUCCAAACACUCUGAUUGUAUGCCCUCUUCCUGUGACGGUGCCUGCUGGCUCGCACAGAGAGAAUGAGUGGUGUGGUGCACAGCAGAUGCCCAGCCUAGACGCCGCCGAU
rnacentral:lncRNA from 1 species